rnacentral:misc_RNA from 1 species
GAUGAAGAACGUAGCGAAAUGCGAUAAGUAAUGUGAAUUGCAGAAUUCAGUGAAUCAUCGAAUCUUUGAACGCACAUUGCGCCCGCCGGUAUUCCGGGGGGCAUGCCUGUCCGAGCGUCAUUGCUGCCCUCAAGCACGGCUUGUGUGUUGGGCCUCCGUCCUCCUCCCGGGGGACGGGCCCGAAAGGCAGCGGCGGCACCGCGUCCGGUCCUCGAGCGUAUGGGGCUUCGUCACCCGCUCUUGUAGGCCCGGCCGGCGCUUGCCGACACAUCAAUCUUUUUUCCAGGUUGACCUCGGAUCAGGUAGGGAUACCCGCUGAACUUAAGCAUAUCAAUAAGCGGAGGA